rnacentral:rRNA from 1 species
GAUGAACGCUAGCGGCAGGCCUAACACAUGCAAGUCGAGGGGUAGAAUUAGCUUGCUAAUUUGAGACCGGCGCACGGGUGCGUAACGCGUAUGCAAUCUACCUUGUACAGGGGGAUAGCCCAGAGAAAUUUGGAUUAAUACUCCAUGGUAUAAUUGAAUCGCAUGGUUUGAUUAUUAAAGUUCCAACGGUACAAGAUGAGCAUGCGUCCCAUUAGCUAGUUGGUGUGGUAACGGCAUACCAAGGCGACGAUGGGUAGGGGUCCUGAGAGGGAGACUCCCCCACACUGGUACUGAGACACGGACCAGACUCCUACGGGAGGCAGCAGUGAGGAAUAUUGGUCAAUGGUCGGAAGACUGAACCAGCCAUGCCGCGUGCAGGAAGACGGUCCUAUGGAUUGUAAACUGCUUUUGUACGGGAAGAACACUCCUUCGUGAAGGAGCUUGACGGUACCGUAAGAAUAAGGAUCGGCUAACUCCGUGCCAGCAGCCGCGGU